UCGUGCUAGACGGGGCGGUAGCGGUGCCCUAUAACCUGCAAUCCGCUAUAGCAGGGUUGAAUUCCCAGUUUCGGCGCUUAUAGCUUAGGGUCUGCCCUAAACAAGUGGUGUUGACAGAUGGGUCCUACGCAAUGGAAACCUAUGAACCCCGUCAGAUCCGGGAGGAAGCAGCGGUAAGUAGGAACCUCCAUGUGCCGUAGGGGUGCCUAGUCAGA
rnacentral:SRP_RNA from 1 species